rnacentral:rRNA from 1 species
UAUUGCACAAUGGGCGCAAGCCUGAUGCGGCGACGCCGCGUGCGGGAUGGAGGCCUUCGGGUUGUAAACCGCUUUUGUUCAAGGGCAAGGCACGGUUUUUGGCCGUGUUGAGUGGAUUGUUCGAAUAAGCACCGGCUAACUGCGUGCCAGCAGCCGCGGUAAUACGUAGGGUGCAAGCGUUAUCCGGAUUUAUUGGGCGUAAAGGGCUCGUAGGCGGUUCGUCGCGUCCGGUGUGAAAGUCCAUCGCAUAACGGUGGAUCCGCGCCGGGUACGGGCGGGCUUGAGUGCGGUAGGGGAGACUGGAAUUCCCGGUGUAACGGUGGAAUGUGUAGAUAUCGGGAAGAACACCAAUGGCGAAGGCAGGUCUCUGGGCCGUUACUGACGCUGAGGAGCGAAAGCGUGGGGAGCGAACAGG